CAGGGAAGAGAGGACACAUGCUGCUGGCAUCCUCAAUAAGGUGGUGCUACCUACAUGUUGAGUUUUACAGCCUGAAUGGUACUUUCACCAUGGAGUCAGCUGUGCUAAGGUCUGGAGGCCUACUAAGGAAAAUAAAGAGCCAACGGAUAGAAUUCUGUGAGGCACUGACAUCUGGACGUGAGAUGACUGCUACACUCAGGAACUCACAGAAUCUAUGAUGCCAGUCAGCAGCCAGCAUGGACAGGAGAGGAGACCAUGAGGCCCCAUGCCCAGCUGAGGAACCGCUGGCAGUUGAGGAAGAUGACUGAAACAUAGGAGAUCUAGCCACUGGAGAAUUGCUCCAAAUUACUGCUCUAAACAAGAUUCUACCCUGGCUCUGCCUCACACACUCAAUACAGAGCAGCAAAUGCUGAGGGUUGUACACCUCAUUUGAUGGACUUAAGAAGAAAAACUCUUCUAGGCUUUCUGCUUGAGCCUAUGUUUACUAUUGUGGUGUGACCGAGGUUAAUGUGUCUGAACCAGUUCUGGGCAUUGGAGAACACAUACUCCCUCUUCUCUCUCAGCAGCAAGAGA
rnacentral:lncRNA from 1 species